UGGGGAAUUUUGGACAAUGGGGGAAACCCUGAUCCAGCCAUCCCGCGUGUGCGAUGAAGGCCUUCGGGUUGUAAAGCACUUUUGGCAGGAAAGAAACGUCGCGGGUUAAUACCCCGCGAAACUGACGGUACCUGCAGAAUAAGCACCGGCUAACUACGUGCCAGCAGCCGCGGUAAUACGUAGGGUGCAAGCGUUAAUCGGAAUUACUGGGCGUAAAGCGUGCGCAGGCGGUUCGGAAAGAAAGAUGUGAAAUCCCAGAGCUUAACUUUGGAACUGCAUUUUUAACUACCGGGCUAGAGUGUGUCAGAGGGAGGUGGAAUUCCGCGUGUAGCAGUGAAAUGCGUAGAUAUGCGGAGGAACACCGAUGGCGAAGGCAGCCUCCUGGGAUAACACUGACGCUCAUGCACGAAAGCGUGGGGAGCAAACAGGAUUAGAUACCCUGGUAGUCCACGCCCUAAACGAUGUCAACUAGCUGUUGGGGCCUUCGGGCCUUGGUAGCGCAGCUAACGCGUGAAGUUGACCGCCUGGGGAGUACGGUCGCAAGAUUAAAACUUAAAGGAAUUGACGGGGGUCAUAGCUGUUUCCCU
rnacentral:rRNA from 1 species